rnacentral:rRNA from 1 species
CGUAGGAGGCGAGCGUUAUCCGGAUUCACUGGGCGUAAAGCGCGCGCAGGUGGCUUGGUAAGUUAGGCGUGAAAUCUCCCGGCUCAACUGGGAGAGGUCGUCUAAUACUACCGGGCUAGAGAGCAGAAGAGGAAGAUGGAAUUCCCGGUGUAGUGGUGAAAUGCGUAGAUAUCGGGAGGAACACCAGUGGCGAAGGCGAUCUUCUGGUCUGUUUCUGACACUCAGACGCGACAGCUAGGGUAGUAAACGGGAUUAGAGACCCCGGUAAUCCUAGCCGUAAACGAUGUGAACUUGGCGUUGGUGGGUUAAACUCCAUCAGUGCCGAAGCAAACGCGAUAAGUUCACCGCCUGGGGACUACGGCCGCAAGGUUA